UUGUGGCUGCACUGGCACAUGGUAUAACGGGAAAAAUUGUGUUCUACCCUAGUGCUGCCCAGUUCAAGUCCUGCACUCUGCAUUCCUGUUUUGUUCCCAAUCCCUUACCUUCUUUGAGCUGGAGGGUGCUGGGCUGUCGCAGCUUCUGGAUGCUAAUGGAGUAGAAGCUGUGGGUUCAGAACGCAGGGGCUGUGUGACAUCACAGAAACUCCACAGACCAGUGGCAGGCACAUGGUACUUUUCCUGCAAGUCAUCAGCUUCCCAGUACAAAUUACAUGUUGGUGGUUCCAUACAGGUGUGAACUUUUCUUGCCUGGCCUGCUUCAUCUCCUUGAAGUUUCCCAUUGCAUUUACAGAUGUGUUAACUACUUGUGGAGCAAAAGAGCAAUGAUGCCUUGCAUCUGGAUGUGUCUGCAUGUACAAACCUUGCCAAUGAUUCUCCACCUUCAAAUGCGGAAGCAUCUGCUGUUUCAGUGCUCCCAGAUUAGUUAUACUAGAUAACAGUUUCAUCUCUAACCAAGGGAAAGAGAUGAAGAUUUUUUCCCCCUCUUUCUGCUUCUUCACUGAUGAUUACAUUUUUUGGGUGCUCAAGUCCCUCACUGGGUGACUUUCUGCUGUAUGCAUUGCUCAGAAGAUUUUUAUUUAAUUUUUUAGUUUAUUUAAUUUAUUUAAUGAUAGACUCAGUAUAAUGCUGAGGCUUGAGAGAGACAGUAGGUUCCUGUUUGAGCUGUGUGUCCUUCUCUUUGAAGUAGUUUAUCAAUUAUAAAAAUAAAGCUGGAACAAAAAAAUAAA